AUCAUUACAGAGUUACUACUCCAAACCCAUUGUGAACCUUACCUAUGUUCUGUUGCCUCGGCGGCGUCGGUCAGCGCCCCUCUGAGAAGAGGACGAUGCCCCUCCCGCCGGCAGCACCAAACUCUUGAAUUUUACAGCGGAUUACAGUUCUGAUUUGAAAACAAAAAACAAGUUAAAACUUUCAACAACGGAUCUCUUGGUUCUGGCAUCGAUGAAGAACGCAGCGAAAUGCGAUAAGUAAUGUGAAUUGCAGAAUUCAGUGAAUCAUCGAAUCUUUGAACGCACAUUGCGCCCGGCAGUAAUCUGCCGGGCAUGCCUGUCCGAGCGUCAUUUCAACCCUCGAACCUCCGUUUCCUCAGGGAAGCCCAGGGUCGGUGUUGGGGCGCUACGGCGAGUCCUCGCGACCCCCGUAGGCCCUGAAAUACAGUGGCGGUCCCGCCGCGGUUGCCUUCUGCGUAGUAAGUCUCUUUUGCAAGCUCGCAUUGGGUCCCGGCGGAGGCCUGCCGUCAAACCACCUAACAACUCCAGAUGGUUGACC
rnacentral:rRNA from 1 species